ncrna:unclassified sequences HTH-XRE RNA
GAUCAGCUAUUGUCAGGGCAGUGAAAGACAGCACUGCGACGGAACUCCUGGCAGGAAGGCUUGCAAAGGUGAUUUCCCUUUC